CUUUUGUUCGGGGCCAUUAUCUUAUGUUGUACCCAUCUGAGCCCAUUCAUGCCUGCUCCACAGAAAGUUGAAGCCCUGAACCACUGACAGGCAGGAGCAGAUUCUCAAUGGCCUCACUCAGCAUGGUGUGCCGUCCUCACUCAGCCUAGUGUGCCAUCUUCAGAACUGGACAGAUGCCUGGCAGCUUGAAGUACACAGUGACAGAGUCAACUCUGCAAACACUGAAUGAAAUUCUGACUACAGUAUUCCCAGAGCAUGCAUGGAGAGGAGCCACCUCAGCCACUCAGGGAGUACAGAAUCAAGAAGAUCUGAAGCUGACCCUUUGCAUUCCUACUGAAAUGCAGAUAAUUCCUAAGCCUUCCAGACACCAAGGUCAACCAAAAAGGCAGCAUCCGGUCCUACUGCAGACCAUGUCUUCUGCCUACAUGUCAAGCUGCACGUGUCACCCAGCCCAGAGUACAAAUGUCAGAGUAUCACCGGAAGCCCUGGCAAGAUGCUGCUUUCAGAGGAGGUUCUGAUCAUCUCCAUGCUUUCCUGUAUCUGAAAGCCUCUCACCAUGUGUGUUACAUUGCUAAUGCAAAGGUACAGCAAAGACUCGAGGGAAAGAGAAAGAAACAAAUAAAAACUAUAACUCAUUCCUAGUGCAGAGUCUGCUGCGCAUAGGGAAGGCAAUAGGAGUCACGCAUUUGUGUCUCCAGAUGGUGUCAAAUGUACACAGGGAAGAUGCAUCUCCCUGGAGCAAGAGGUCUCAGUGCAGGUGGGGGGAGGCGGGGCCACUGAUGGGAGUAGUGGGAACAUCUGGACCCUUGGCUCCGUUGGCUUAGCCCCUUGACAGGAAAUCAAAUAUUAUAGAAAGGAAAAGGGUCGUGCCUGUGUCCCGGGUGUGAGAGACUUGCAGGACUACAGAGAAGGUUGUGGUCAUCUCUGCUUGACAGCAUUGCAGCUGUGCUGGACCGCACUUGAGAGUAUCUUAGCUACCACAACAACAGGAAGUCAUAGGAGCUCACAUCUAUCCUUCUCGGCAUCCUUAAAUGUGCUUUCUACUGUUCUGGGCAAACAUUGAAGGACAAUUCAUGAAGAAAAUGGAAAAUUCUCCCCAAGGUGCCUGCUUCCUACCAAGAUCACUCCUGAAAGCUUAUGUGAACUUGGUUAAAAUAUUUGCUGUCUGGCUUAUGAGAUGGCUCAGAAAAUAAAAGCUCUUGCUAUG
ensembl:lincRNA Gm9991 predicted gene 9991